GCCCUCUCAGGUUCACACCUGGAGAGUUCCCAGUACUUUACCAGUCUCCACUACAGGAGGGAGAGUCAGGCAGAGGCCUAACCAUUCCAUUCUUAGCUUGGAUGGUGGCUGGCGAGUGGAAGGCAAUCUGCUACAAGU